GCACUAGGGGUGUUUUAAAACUGAGAUGAGGGCAACCUCAAACCCUUUGAACCUGAUCUAGAUGAAGCUAGCGGAGGAAAGUGUUUUUAAU
rnacentral:ncRNA from 1 species